GCCGGGAUGGCUGAGUGGUUAAAGCGACGGCCUCGAGAUCUCAAGAGAUGAGGGCCAGGACACGACAGCCGUUGGGCGUCACGCCCUCGUGGGUUCGAAUCCCACUCCCGGCG
rnacentral:tRNA from 1 species